UACGUAGGGCGCAAGCGUUGUCCGGAAUUAUUGGGCGUAAAGAGCUCGUAGGCGGCUUGUCACGUCGGAUGUGAAAGCCCGGGGCUUAACCCCGGGUCUGCAUUCGAUACGGGCUAGCUAGAGUGUGGUAGGGGAGAUCGGAAUUCCUGGUGUAGCGGUGAAAUGCGCAGAUAUCAGGAGGAACACCGGUGGCGAAGGCGGAUCUCUGGGCCAUUACUGACGCUGAGGAGCGAAAGCCAGGGGAGCGAACGGG
rnacentral:rRNA from 1 species